rnacentral:rRNA from 1 species
AGUACGGUCGCAAGACUGAAACUUAAAGGGAUUGGCGGGGGAGCACCGCAACGGGUGGAGCGUACGGUUUAAUUGGAUUCAACGCCGAAAACCUCACCGGAGGAGCGUAGCUGUAUGAAGGCCGGGCUGAAGACUCUGCCGGACUAGCUGAGAGGUGGUGCAUGGCCAUCGACAGCUCGUACUGUAAAGCGUUCUGUUAAGUCAGAUAACGAGCGAGACCCCUGCCUCCAGUUGCUAUUUCCAGCUCCGGCUGGGAAGCACUCUGGAGGGACUGCCCGCGCUAAGUGGGAGGAAGGAGGGGGCCACGGUAGGUCCGUAUUCCCCGAAACUUCCGGGCAACACGCGCGCUACAAAGGGCGGGACAAUGGGUUCCGAUGCCGAAAGGCAAAGGUAAUCCCGAAACCCGCUCGUGGUUGGGAUCGAGGGCUGCAAUUCGCCCUCGUGAACGUGGAAUCCGUAGUAAUCGCCUGUCAACAGCAGGCGGUGAAUAUGCCCCUGCUCCUUGCACACACCGCCCGUCAAGUCAUGCGAGUCGAGUCUAAGUGAGGGUCCCUCUCACUGGGGGAUUCGAACUUGGGUUCGGUGAGCGGGAUUAAGUCGUUAACAAGGUAACCA